AAGCUAUGAUUAAACAUUGUGUUCCAGAAUGCAUAGUGUUUAUAGCUUCCGUAGGGUUGUAUGUGUUUACCUCAAGUUGGAUAGGUCUGUUGGCUGAAAGAAAACAUUCUGA
rnacentral:ncRNA from 1 species